rnacentral:rRNA from 1 species
UGCAAGUCGAGCGAACUUGCGGGAGCUUGCUCCCAAAAGUUAGCGGCGGACGGGUGAGUAACACGUGGGCAACCUGCCUAUAAGACUGGGAUAACUUCGGGAAACCGGAGCUAAUACCAGAUAAUUCUUUUCUACUCAUGUAGGAAAGCUGAAAGACGGCUUCGGCUGUCACUUAUAGAUGGGCCCGCGGCGCAUUAGCUAGUUGGUGAGGUAACGGCUCACCAAGGCAACGAUGCGUAGCCGACCUGAGAGGGUGAUCGGCCACACUGGGACUGAGACACGGCCCAGACUCCUACGGGAGGCAGCAGUAGGGAAUCUUCCGCAAUGGACGAAAGUCUGACGGAGCAACGCCGCGUGAGUGAUGAAGGUUUUCGGAUCGUAAAACUCUGUUGUUAGGGAAGAACCAGUAUGAGAGUAACUGCUCGUACCUUGAC